rnacentral:rRNA from 1 species
GUCUACAGCCAUGCCACCCUUAAUGUGCCUGAUCUUGUCUGAUCUCAGAAGCUAAGCAGGGUUGGGCCUGGUUAGUACCUAGGUGCUGUAGGUA